rnacentral:rRNA from 1 species
UACGUAGGGGGCAAGCGUUGUUCGGAAUUACUGGGCGUAAAGGGCGCGUAGGCGGUGUACUAAGUCAGGCGUGAAAGCCCUGGGCUCAACCCGGGAAUUGCGCUGGAUACUGGUGCGCUUGAAUCCAGGAGAGGUUGGUGGAAUUCCCAGUGUAGAGGUGAAAUUCGUAGAGAUUGGGAAGAACACCGGUGGCGAAGGCGGCCAACUGGACUGGUAUUGACGCUGAGGCGCGAAAGCGUGGGGAGCAAACAGG